CGGACUGUAGUCUGCAACCCGACUACACGAAGCUGGAAUCGCUAGUAAUCGCGAAUCAGAAUGUCGCGGUGAAUACGUUCCCGGGCCUUGUACACACCGCCCGUCACACCAUGAGAGUCGGGAACACCCGAAGUCCGUAGUCUGACCGCAAGGGGACGCGGCCGAAGGUGGGUUCGAUAAUUGGGGUGAAGUCGUAACAAGGUAUC
rnacentral:rRNA from 1 species